AAGUCGUAACAAGGUUUCCGUAGGUGAACCUGCGGAAGGAUCAUUAAAGAAUUAGGCUUCGCGGCCAAGUUCUCACCCUUUGUAUACCGAAACCAUGUUGCUUUGGCAGGCCCCUGCAUUUUCGCUGGCCUGCAGUGUUAAUAACCCUAGAAUCUCUGCUGUCUGAGUACUAUACAAUAGUUAAAA
rnacentral:misc_RNA from 1 species